ensembl:snoRNA
UCAGUGGUACAUGAUGACUUUAUCUUUUUUCCCCAUCAUAUCGGCAGUGCUGAUCAAAAAUGCAUUCUAGCCAGAAAGUCUGAUUCCACUGA